ensembl:lncRNA
ACCUGCACCCUGGGCGCAGCUGAGAUCAGAGCAAGACAUUCAGACGGACUAGGCUAAAGGUGUCCCAUGGCUAGAAAAAAGAGAAAAUCAUUGGUUCCCCAGCAGAGCUCUGCAGACAGGACACUGAUAGGCUGCCCCUUCCCGGUGUCCAGUGGCACCCAUUGGGCAGAGGCCAUCUUUCACCACUCCUAGGAGGCACCCAGAGGCCACGUGACCCAGGCAGGAACACCAUCUCCCCUGGGCCCCUGCCCUCUGUCUCAGGAGGCUGCAUCCUAACACUUGGCAAAGGCUGGGCAUGGCCUGUGAGGUCAGCAGAAAUUACCAGCCAGUGGGAGGUGGGCAGAGGCACUGGGCUACUUCCCAUCCUAGCCCAUAAAAACCUCCAUGGGCUCUGAGCUUCCCCCUUCCACAGUGACUUUGGAAAUCAUAGGCUAAGAUGGCACCACAAGAGCCAAGGCCCUGAAGUCCCUCUUAGAGAAGUACUGCCCACUGAUCAGAUAAAUCCCAUUAUGAAUCUUAGGUAAGCAAGAUACAAACUUCCAUUGCAUUUGAACCUGUAUGUUUGGGCUUUGUGAUAUCAGCAAGCUUUGCCCUCAUACAGGUAUAUACAGUACAGUUGGCCCUCCACACCCACGGGUCCUACGUCUGUGCAUUCAACCAACUACAGAUCAAAAAUACAAUAUUCACAGGAUGUGAAACCCGUGGAUAUGAAAGGCUGGCUUUUCCUAUUGGCAGGUUCUGCAGAGCCAACUUCGGGACUUGGGCAUCCAUGGAUUUUGGUAUCCAUAGGGGUCCUGGAACCAAUCCCCCAGAUACUGAGGAGUGACUAUGAAAUAUAUAGUACAUAUGUUUUAAAAAAGAAAACACAUAGUACAUAUAAUUAACAUAGGUAACAACUAGCCUGAUUUUACAGAUGAGAAAACUGAUGCAUAGAGAAGGUGGAGAAUUUGUCUGAGGUUAGUAAGUGGAGGAGUCAGGAUUUGAACCCUGGGCCUGGCUCCAGAGGUUCCAGUCUUAAGUGCUCCACCUCAAGGCUGAACCAGCAGGCCAAGAAUACAGAGGUGCAGGCCAGCUGCUCCAGGCAGCUCCUCCUGCCCACCUAGGCCUCCUCAGGCCUUUUGCCUGGAUGCAGUGAGGGUCGCACCCUGCACCCCUGCCUCCUCGCCUUCCCAGGCGUCACCCUGAACCCUCCCCAUUCUGACCCUCACCUCUUGGAUGGACCCAGCCAAUAGGCUUCAGGGGUUUUUCCCUCUCCCACUCCUCACACGCACUUGGCACAACCUCUGCUCUGGUGACCCCAAGUGUCUACCUUCCCUGGGUCCACCCCCAAUCUGUUUUGAGAGAAAGCUGCCUCUGGGCCAGUGGGAUCUACCUCCUGUCCACAGGCCCUAUGUCAACCAGAGCUCUUUCAAUGACAAGUGACAGAAACCCAACUGGCUUAGAGGAGGGAAAUGUUUAUUGGCUCAUGUGACUUAAGAAGUCCAAGGUCCACAGGCCUCGAGCCAGCUCAGCCCCAGGUGCCCAGAUGGCAUCAGGAAGCUCUUGUCUCUGGACCUCUUGGCUCUGCUCUCUGUGCUGGUUUUGUUCUCAGGCAGGAUGGUUCCCUCAGGGUAAUAAGUUGCUUCCAACAGCUCCUGGCAGCCCACACUCAUUCCGCCAGCUCUGCUGCCCCAAUGUGGUCGCUGUCUUCUUGCCAGCGAUCCUGUCAAAACCCUUUCCUGAUGGUCCCACUUGAAGUC